GUGGAAUCAAAUCAUAUUGAGUAAGCAUGGCAACCACCCUUUUGAUUGAGUGGAUAAAGGGGUUAAAGGCACUCAUAGAAAUCCGUAGGAAGAAAUUUUGUUUGAGCUUCCCACUUUUCCCCAUCUUGUUCGUUGUAUUGUGGGGGAUGGUAAGGAUACCUUUCCUUGGUUUUAUCAUCUGUCUUCUUUAAAAAAUUGCCCAAUCUCUG
rnacentral:misc_RNA from 1 species